rnacentral:lncRNA from 1 species
GCCCACCUGAGCCCUUCCACUCAGGGUCCAGAGGCAGAGCAGGAUAUCUAAUCCCAGCCCCCUUGCACAUCUCUGCCCCACACACACACACACAUACACACAUGCGCGCGCGCACACACACACACACACACACACACACACACACACUACACUGAGGGAUGACACUUCCUCUCCCAACAGAUCUUUCAGAUGAUUAUCCAGGGAUAAUGGUAGACACCUAGGGAUGGUGAUGGAUGUACAGAGAUGGUGAUGGGUACCCAGGGAUGUUAACAGGUGUGCAAGGACAGUGGUGCGUGUGCAAGGAUGGUAGUGGGUGCCCAGAGAUGGUGGUGUGUGUGCAGGGAUGGUAGUGGGUGCACGGGGAUGAUGGUGGGUGCCCAGGGAUGGUGAUAGAUGUGCAGGGAUGGUGGUUGGUGCCCAGAAAUAGUGGUGGAUAUGCAGGCAUUGUGGUGGGUGCCCAGGGACAGUGGUGGGUGUGCAAGAACAGUGGUGGAUGUGCAAGGAUGGUAGUGGGUGCCCAGGGAUGGUGGCAGAUAUGCAGUGAUGGUGGUAGGUGCCCAGGCACAGUGGUGGGUGUGCAGGGACAGUAGUGGGUGCCCAGGGAUGGCAGUGGGUGCCCCAGGAUGGUGGUGGGUGUGCAGGGAUGUUGGUGGGUGCCCAGGCACAGUGAUGGGUGUGCAUGGAUGGAAGUGGGUGCCCAAGGAUGGUAGCAGGUGCCCCAGGAUGGUGGUGCAUGUGCAGGGAUGGUGGUGGGUGUUCAGAGACAGUGGUGGAUGUGCAGGGAUGGUAGUGUUGGGUGCCCAGGGAUGGUGGUGGAUGUUCAGGAAUGGCGGUGGGUGCGCAGAGGCAGAGGUGAGUGUGUAGGAUGGUGGUCAGUGUGCAGGUACGGUGGUAAGUGUGCAAGGAUAGUGGUAGAUUCCCAGAGAUGGUGAUGUGUGCCCAAGGAUUGUGAGGGAUGUGCAGGGAUGGGGGUAGGUGCCCAGGGAUGGUGGUGGGUUCCUAGGGAUGGUGGUGGUUGCCCUCUGCUUUUCCAGGCUGCCCAUCUCACCAUGAAGCUCCUUUGAGUGCCAGAAAGUUCUUCCUUAAUGCUGAGCCACAAGCCACUCCCUUCUCCACCUGGAUGAUGGCCAUUCAGUGUGGACAGGUGCAGGGCAAAGGUUACCCUAUUGACCCUAAAACUUAAAGGACAGAGAAUUGGAAGGAAAGGGCAUGUGGUGCCCACGUCUGUGUCCCACAGGAGCCUGAGUCCCACAGCACAGCAGCUAGAGCAUAGGCUUUGGGGUCAGGCUGACCAGGGCUGAACACAGGCGCUAGUGACUUCCAGGUGGAUGACCUAGAGAAAACAGCCUCACUUUCUGAUUCCUUGAUUCUCAAGCGGGGAUGACAACACCAACCUCACAGGGUACUAGGAAGGCUCAAUGAAACAGCAACAAAGUGCUUAGUACCCCAGGUGCUCAAUAAAUAAUAGUAAUUACUACUAAGUGCAGAGCACAGCCAUAAAAGUGUCUGGUUGCACCAUGUCCACCCUAUCUGUCUGGGCCCCACCCCAGGACAACCAAGUUAAAAUUGAGGGAUGGCCCAGCAUCAGCACCAGUAUUUUUUUCUUUCAUUUUUUUAUUGAGCAUCAAGAACAAAGAUUUUUAGAUGCUGGGUGAGUAAAGAAAUGAAGAAAUGAAUGAAAAUCACCGAGUUAGUUGAUGCAGAAGAAACUUAGCCCAGAAGACUUGGUCAGAAGAGUCCUCAGGCUGGCCACAAGGAAUGUUCCAGGGUCACUGUGGGCAAAGAGAGAAUGCGUCCUCCUCUGGCUAAGCAGAGAGAGCCUAAAAUCCAUAGAUCAAGACUCUCACCUGAUCCACCUCAAAUUUAGUGCACUGAAAACAGAAUUCACCUCUUCCCCAUGAGCUGUUCCCUGCUCUUUUCAUCAGUGGGCACAGUAAAUGGGAGUAGUCACGUGGCAUUGUUGGCAGGAGGACUGUGGUGUGUAAAGCCACUUAUUCCUACACUAGUCUAACACCACUGUAUUCAUUCAGUGUUGUGUCUCCUUUAUUAUUCUAUCUUAUCCUGUGUGAUGGUUAAUUUUAUGUGUCCACUUGACUGGGUCACAGGAUAUUUGGUCAAACAUUUUACUGGGUGUUUCUAUUCUGGGUGCUUUGGAUGAGAUUAACAUUUUAAUUGGUAGAUUGAGAAAGCGGAUUGCCCUCCCUAAUGUGGGUGGGCCACAUCCAAUCUGUUUGAAGUCCUGAAUAGAAGAAAAGGCUCACUUUUCCCAAGUUAAGAGAGAAUUCCUCCUGCCUGCCUGCCUGCCUUCCAACUAAGACAUCACCGUUUGUUUCCUGCCUUCAGUCUCAAACUGGAACAUUUGGCUCUUCCUGGGUUUUGAGCCUGUCGGCCUUCAGACUGGAACUACAACAUCAGCUCUCCUGGGUCUCCAGUUUGCCCUCUCACUCUGCAGAUCUUGGGAUUUGCCUCCAUAAUUGCAUAAGCUAAUUCUUUAUAACAAAUUUCCCUUGGCCAGGUGCUGUGGCUCCCACCUGUAAUCCCAGCACCUUGAGAGGCCAAAGCAGGAGAAUUGCUUGAGGCUAGGAGUUUGAGACCAGCCUGGGCAACAAAGCAAGAUCCCCAUCUCUACAAAAAUGAAAAAUAAAAAAUUAGCUGGGCACAGUGGCAUGUGCUGUAGUCCCCGCUUCUCAGGAGGCUGAAGCAGGAGGAUCCUUGGGCCUAGGAGUUCAAGGCUGUAGUGAGCUAUGAUGGUGCCACUGCACUCCAACCUGCAUGACAAAGCAAGAUCCUGUCUCAAAAACAAAAAUUAAAAAUUAAAAAAUAUAUAAAAACUCUAUAUAUAUAUAGAUUGAUAAGUAGGUACAUAGAUAACAGAUAGAUUAUAGACAGACACAUAGAUACAUAGAAUGAUAUGGUUUGGCUGUGUCCCCACCCAAAUCUCAUCUUGAAUUUUAGCUCCCAUAAUCCCCACUUGUCAUGGGAGGGACCCAGUGGGAGGUAAUUGAAUCACGGGGGUGGGCUUUUCCCAUGCUGUUUUCAUGAUAGUGAAUAAGUCUCAUGAGAUCUGAUGGUUUUAUAAAGGGCAGUUCCCCUGCACAUGCUGUCUUGACUGCUACCAUGUAAGAUGUGACUUUGCUCCUCCUUCACCUUUCACCAUGAUUGUGAGGCCUCCCCAGCCAUGUGGAACCAUGAGUCCAUUAAACCUCUUUUUCUUUAAAAAUUACCCAGUCUCAGGUAUUUCUUCCUAGCAAUAUGAAAAUGGCUGGGCACGGUGGCUCACGCCGGUAAUCCCAGCACUUUGGGAGGUCGAGGCAGGCGGAUCACCUGAGGCCAGGAGUUCAAGACCAUCCUGGCCGACAUGGAGAAACUCUAUCUCUACUAAAAAAUACAAAACUUA